rnacentral:lncRNA from 1 species
UGGUUUUUAUUUAAUUUUGUGAUUAAAGUUUUUAUUGAUUUCCCUGCAGGGUAAAAUAUAUCAAUAUCUUUGGUUUCAAAGGAGCAUUCAGUAACAAGAAAACAUAAAAGGACUCAACCACAAAAAAGCAGUGGAAGACAUUUCCAGCAAAAGAAAUUUCUGAUCAUCAGCAAUGAAGGUACAAAGGAAAACAGAAAAGGAAAGCGAGUAAAUAACUUUUGAUGUGGCAGUUUUUUUUAAGUAACAUAGAGAUUUAUACAAGGUGGAUUGCAUCUAUCUAAGGACAAAGAAAUAUAGCAGAAAAAGGACUGAAUUUUCCCACUGCUCUUUGGAGGCAUAGAACCUCCAACUCCAUCUUGACUCUCCCAUUUAUUCCUUGUGUUAAUCUAGGUAAGUCCUUUAAUCCCUCGGGGCUUCUCUCUCCUCAUAUGUAAAAUUAUAUAGUUGGACUAUCUGAUUUCUGAGGGUCCUUCCAGCUUAAAACUCAAAUCACAGGCAAUUACAUCUAAGGUCCAUCUUGUUCAUUCCAAAGUCUUGGUUUGGACC